GUGCACCCUUGGCCAGUCUUUCCUUGUCGUACACAAGAACCUGGACUAUUUUUAGCCUGCUCAACUGUAACAUCUGGCGAGCGAGCCAGGAGGACUCUACAAAUCUUGGGAGACCUCACCAGACACCAGAGGUGUCAGCAACCCAGAGACCUUCGGAGGCCUCGGCAGAAGCAGGCAACCAGACAAUGCAGCCAGCAAGGAAGGUACUGAGGAUCGAACUCGGGACCUUGCGCUUGUGAGGCAGGUGCCAGAACCACUGAGCUAAAUCCCCGGCCCCAAAACUAGUAUAUCAUUUCCAUGAUGUCAAAAAAAAGACUCAAUUUAUUAACUCACAGAAGACAAUGAAAAUGCCUUUCAUCGCAAAGUUGAUCUGCAAGUGGACCUUUGUACUUCUAACUGGCAGAAGCGCCUGACACGAGUGCCACAGCAGAUGUGCAGAGGUUGCUACCAUUUGACAUCAGGUCCUAACGAGCUGGGUAGAGGAAGGUGU
rnacentral:lncRNA from 1 species